GACGAACGCUGGCGGCGUGCCUAAUACAUGCAAGUCGAACGCUGAAGCAGGAGCUUGCUUCUCUGGAUGAGUUGCGAACGGGUGAGUAACGCGUAGGUAACCUGCCCGGUAGCGGGGGAUAACUAUUGGAAACGAUAGCUAAUACCGCAUAAUAGUAGAUGUUGCAUGACAUUCGCUUAAAAGGUGCAAUUUCAUCAUUACCAGAUGGACCUGCGUUGUAUUAGCUAGUUGGUGGGGUAAGGGCUCACCAAGGCAACGAUACAGAGUCGACCGGAGAGGGGGACCGCCGACAGGGGAACUGAGACAGGGUCCAGACGCCGAGGGGGGGCAGCGAGGGGAAAGUUGGGGAAAGGGGGGAAAGCGUGAGGGAGAAAGGCCGCGUGGGAGAAGAAGGUUUUGGGGUUGAAAAGCUGUUUUAAGGGGAAAGAAAAGAGGGAGAUGAAAAAGUGCACAUUGUGACGGUAUCUAAAAAGAAAGCAACGGCUAACUACGUG
rnacentral:rRNA from 1 species